UGCAUUUGGAGAUCCACAUGGUUCUGGGAAGCUAACUCCACCCCAAAUUCCAGCAAGGGAGCAUGAGACCUCAGCUGAGCCAAUCCACACAUUCCAUCCUCUUGGCUGUUUGAAGAGCUGAAUUCUGGAAAGGAUUUGAAAACUGGGCAUACCAACUCUGACCAGGAAUUGGAAUCCCUUGUCCAUUUCAAGCUGGUUGAGACCACCAACUCAUCAACUGGGCCCCCACAGACAUAUGUCCAAUGAUCGACCUUUUGACGUCAAGAGGUUAAAACUCCACCCUCAGGGCAUGCUAACACCGCCAUUCUGCGAACAUGCGUCCUACGAAGAAGCAUGAAGCCUGACUAUGCUUGCACAGAUCAUCAAUUACCUCAUCUCUCCUCACCUGCAAUCAUUUCAGACCACCUUGCCCCCGACCCAAUAAAUAUCUUUGAGUCCCUAUUUUCGGGGAAGUGGAUUUGAGAUUCAUUCUCCCGUUUCCUCACUUGGCUGCCUUGUGAUUAAUAAACCCUCUCUCUC